rnacentral:lncRNA from 1 species
UGCGAAUGGCAUCUUUUAUGGAUAAUCUCACAAGAAUUUUAUUUAUGGCCUGUUCAGGCAGAGAACUAAUCCUGUCUUUUUCUAUUUCCAACUGAAUAAUCUGCAACUUUUCUUCCAUUGCCAAAAGUCUGAAACUGAAAAUGAAAUGAAACAUAUAUAAAAGAUGGAUCUGUAAAUUAUUAUAAAGAAAAGGAAUCGAACAGUAGAAAAGGAAAUAAAUACUAAAUAAAAAAACUCUGGUUGAUCUGAUGAUCGACUAACCCAUGUAAUAUUAAAUAAAAAUUAGAAAUUCAGAGUGUUAAUUGCUGAUCAUUAAACACUAAACAAAAAUAGAAAUGCUAAAAAUUAUAAAAAUAAAAAAUAACCAGCAAAAACAUAAUUCAAGAGGAGGAUAAAAAAAAAAUCAAUUCAGCAAAAAAAAUGCAAAAAUCAGAAAUUCAAAGUGUUAAUUGCUGAUCAUUAAACACUAAACAAAAAUAAGAAUCCUAAAAAUAUGAUGCUUUCUUCCCACCAGCUUCGAGAAGAGCAGAAAACAAAGCCGGUGAUGCGAGAAAAUAGUGCUAUUCAGGUGCUUGGAAAAAAAAUCCAGUGAUCGUCCAUGUGAUAAGAAUGCUGGACUCCGAAAUACGGUGACCUUGUCGAAGAUUUAGAGCUGGAAUCCGGUGAAAGUGUGUUGGAACAUGGGGGACAACGGGACAAGG